GACGAACGCUGGCGGCGUGCUUAACACAUGCAAGUCGAACGGAAAGGCCCUGCUUUUGUGGGGUGCUCGAGUGGCGAACGGGUGAGUAACACGUGAGUAACCUGCCCUUGACUUUGGGAUAACUUCAGGAAACUGGGGCUAAUACCGGAUAGGAGCUCCUGCUGCAUGGUGGGGGUUGGAAAGUUUCGGCGGUUGGGGAUGGACUCGCGGCUUAUCAGCUUGUUGGUGGGGUAGUGGCUUACCAAGGCUUUGACGGGUAGCCGGCCUGAGAGGGUGACCGGCCACAUUGGGACUGAGAUACGACCCAGACUCCUACGGGAGGCAGCAGUGGGGAAUGGUGCACAAUGGGCGGAAGCCUGAUGCAGCAACGCCGCGUGCGGGAUGACGGCCUUCGGUUUGUAAACCGCUUUCGCCUGUGACGAAGCGUGAGUGACGGUAAUGGGUAAAGAAGCACCGGCUAACUACGUG
rnacentral:rRNA from 1 species